rnacentral:lncRNA from 13 species
AAAGACAUUGCAGACUCAUUCCUUAAAUGUUUGGUAAAAAUCAAUAGUGAAUCUAUGUGUGUGUGUGUGUGUGUGUGGUGUAUGUGUGUGUGUGUGUAUGUGGAGUGUAUGUUAAGGGAAAGUUUUAACUAUAAGAUAAACUUUUUUUUUUUUUUGAGAUGGAGUCUCACUCUGUCACCAGACUGGAAUGCAGUGGUGCUAUCUCGGAUCAUUGCAACCUCCGCCUCCUGGGUUAAACCAAUUCUCAUGCCUCAGCAUCCUGAGUAGCUGGAAUUACAGGAGAUGUCUCAACUAAGAACUUUAAAAGAAAAAGGAAAUAAAUUAUGUUUUCUACACUAAAAUUUCUCAAUCCAGCCUGGAAAAACAAAGAUAAUCCGCUUGCUCUGGGACCUAUAGAAGGAGGCUUGGAAGAAAACUGGCAGAAGUCAGCAGAAAAGGGAUUUGUUUGUGCAUUGACAUGUUUGAAGAGUCCUCAAGACAUUAGGCUGUAUUGGACUGGUAUGAAAAGUUAUUCAGUAUUGAAAAUCACCUGGAUAUUUAUAAAUGGCCACAGUGAAUCUAAUCAGAAAGAUAAAUCUAAUGGUGCAUGAGAGAUCUGAUGUCAUAUUGUCACGUUUAAAAUCUUUAACAGUUUGUAAAGAACUAGUCAAAUGACCUUUUUAAAUGAUAGUAAAUAAGAUGCACUGAAAAAACUAGUGGAAUUAUAAAUGUUGUAAAGGCUUUAAACUGUUAACUUAAUUUCUCAUAUUUUGGCACGCUCCAAGUAGUAAAAAAUCUAAAAUCUUCAGAGAUUUCCAAAUCUUCAGUUUGAAUUUAAACUGAAGCUCUAAUAUGUCUUUGUAUUUUAAGUCUUAUCUCCACUGGAAGGUGAGAAAGAGUUCUAAAAGGGGAGACAAAUAAAAAGAUUAAUAAAUAACA